GCAGGUUGAAGCGCGGGUAAGACCGCGUGGAGGACCGAACCCACCUGGGUUGAAAACCGGGGGGAUGACUUGGGGCUAGGGGUGAAAGGCCAAUCAAAUUCCGUGAUAGCUGGUUCUCUCCGAAAUGCAUUUGGGUGCAGCGUCGGGUCAUUACGUCCCGGGGGUAGAGCUACUGGAUGCUUGCGGGCCCGUAUCGGGUACCAACAGCAACCAAACUCCGAAUACCGGUGACGCGUAUCCCGGCAGUGAGUCGGCGGGGGAUAAGCUUCGUCGUCGAAAGGGAAACAGCCCAGACCGUCGUCUAAGGUCCCGAAGCGUGUGCUAAGUGGGAAAGGAUGUGGAGUCGCAUAGACAGCCAGGAGGUUGGCUCAGAAGCAGCCACCCUUGAAAGAGUGCGUAACAGCUCACUGGUCUAGUGGUUCCGCGCCGACAAUGUAGCGGGGCUCAAGCACACCACCGAAGACGCGGCAGUAUUUUGUACUGGGUAGGAGAGCGUCCCAUGAGGGGCGAAGCGGCCGUGUGAACGCGCCGUGGACUUCAUGGGAGUGAGAAUGCAGACAUGAGUAGCGAGAGACGGGUGAAGAUCCCGUCCGCUGGAUGACCAAGGGUUCCAGGGCCACGUUCAUCGUCCCUGGGUGAGUCGGGUCCUAAGGCGAGGCCGACAGGCGUAGUCGAAUGGAUGAACGGGUCGAUAUUCCCGUACCGGCUUUCAGCCGCCAAAACCGAGGCUUGGAGUACUAACCUCCGGGUCCGGGCUUACUGCUCCUUCGGGGGCGGGAGGCCCUGGCCUGUUGGGACCGAUCCUUGUAGUAGGUCAGCGCAGGAGUGACGCAGAAGGGUAGCCGGCCGCGGAGGUGGUCUUCCGUGGUCAAGCACGCAGGGCGUGGGACAGGCAAAUCCGUCCCGCAUGGGUCCGAGGUGCGAUGAUGGGGGCCUUAUGGCCCGAUAUCCGGUGAUCCCGGCUGCCGAGAAAAGCUUCGGCGUCAGGCUCAAAGCCGCCCGUACCCCAAACCGACACUGGUGGUCAGGUAGAGAAUACCAAAGCGAUCGAGCGAAUCCUGGUCAAGGAACUCGGCAAAUCACUCCCGUUCCUUCGGUUUAAGGGAGACCCCCGAUGGUGAACCGCCUCGCGCGGGGAGCUUUUGGGGGUGGCACAGACCAGGGGGUAGCGACUGUUUACCAAAAACACAGGUGCAUGCGAAGGCGCAAGCCGCUGUAUAUGCACUGACGCCUGCCCGGUGCCGGAAGGUUAAGAGGAUCCGUCAGCCUUCGGGUGAAGCGGUGAAUUCAAGCCCCGGUAAACGGCGGUGGUAACUAUAACCAUCCUAAGGUAGCGAAAUUCCUUGUCGGGUAAGUUCCGACCUGCACGAAUGGCGUAA
rnacentral:rRNA from 1 species